UACGGAGGGUGCAAGCGUUGUCCGGAAUCACUGGGCGUAAAGGGCGCGUAGGCGGCUCAUGAAGGCUGUGGUGAAAGUCCGGGGCUCAACCUCGGAUCGGCCGUGGCGACUCGUGGGCUGGAGCACUGUAGAGGCGGGUGGAAUUCCGGGUGUAGCGGUGGAAUGCGUAGAGAUCCGGAAGAACACCAGUGGCGAAGGCGGCCCGCUGGGCAGUGGCUGACGCUGAGGCGCGACAGGCG
rnacentral:rRNA from 1 species